GUGACUGUGGUUUGGGCUGAGGCCCUGGGGCACAUGUCAGGGCCCGCUGGACCCCCUCCAGCCUAUUAGCAUAAAGAAUUAUUUAUUUGCAGCCUCUAGGCAGUGGGUUCUGGGUCGGCUCUCCCACAAAGAAAAAGUCCUCCUGUUCCUCAGGAGGAAUCUGGCAAUGUGGGAAACCCCCAAAGUCCUGAAUAAUGAACAGACGGCCACAAGCAGCUGGCAUACAUCCUGGCAGUGUGGUAAUUCACUUUGUUUAUGAAAGCCUCAUAGACUUCCUUGUAAUCAGAGGCUGGGAUUUCUUUAGAAACCCUUGUGAACCACUUCCACCCCUUUUGUUUAGGUCCUUUUAGAGGAGAACCAUCUUGCUUCACUUCUGGGUAUUCUUGGCAUGCCCUCCAAAGGCUUGACAACUGGCGGCCUCUGGGCUCAGCCACCUCCCCACCUGCCCCGACACUCUCACAUGCCCCUGGACUGUCUCAUUUGUCAAGUAAGAGCAAUAAAGUCAGGAAAAUAACAGGCAGAAAGACCACUGGAGAAGCCAAAGAGAGGAACUCCACUCCCAGGGUAAGAGCACCAGCCUUGGACAUCACCAAAACAGACCAAAAUGAUCUCUGACCAGCCCUCUCUCGUGCAAGUCACCAGAGCAAGCCACACUGCAAGCCAUAUAUGCAAUUGUCAAUUUUCUAGUAAUGUUUAAAAAUGGUAACAGGUGAAAUUAAUUUUAGUAACACAUUUGAUUUGACCCAAUAUAUCCAAAAUAUCAUUCUAACAUCUAGUCAAUUUACAAAAGUAUCAGUGAGUUUUGGUUGUUUUUUUUUUUUUUUAAGUCUUUGAAAUCCGGUAUGUAUGUUAUGCUGAUGGCACAUCUCAGUUUGGACUCCAUUUGCACAUGUUUCAAGUGCUCAGGGGCCAGUGCAAUAGUGGCUACUCCAUUAGCCCAGUCUUGGAUGGUUUGAAGCCCAUUUACCUCUUCUCAUUCAGUGAGGUCCUCUCAUGCUUGUAUCAAUCCCACCAUAGGAGAAAGGAAUACAGUAAAUAUAUCCACACUAAGGGGCAAGGGAUUUGAUAAGGAUUUGCAUUUUAGGGGACCUGCCUGGUAGCACAGAGAGCUCUCUGUGUCGGUAAUGGUGGCAUUACAGACAGCCCAAUAGAAACCAAUCGAGGGCAAGCUGGAAGAAGCAGGAAGUAGAUGGCAGUAAGGCCUUGUGAGAAUUCUCACAUCAUAAUAUAUGUCCCUGCCUACACAGAAGGUUGAGGCUCUUUUUCUUUUUCUUUUAAUUUAUUUAUUUGACACAGAGAGAACACAAGUAGGGAGAGCAGCAGGCUGAGGGAGAGGGAGAAGCAGCCUCCUUGCUGAGUGGGGAGCCCAAUACGGGGCUUGAUCCAAGGACUUUGGGAUCAUGACUUGAGCCAAAGGCAGAUGCUCAACCAACCGAGCCACCCAGGCGCGCCAAGGCUGAGCCUCUUGAGCCAUCAAUCAUGAAGGCUCUUUGCUCUAUUUCAUGGUUGAGAGAAGAAAGAUGUGCCGAUCAGAAAAGAAGGAAGGGAGGGGUGGAGGGACGGAGGGACAGUGGGACAGAGGAAGAGAUAGAGGAGGGAAGGCCUUUUCCUGGGCCCUAUUUUUAUGUGAGUCUUGGCUGAAUGGGUUGGGCUCAGCUAGACCUUAGCAUGCAAUGCAAAUUUCCCAGCUGUUUGCCCAAGUAAGUGAUGGAUUAGUAGCUGUGCCACUUGGAAGUCACCCAGCCCUUUUUGGGAGAUGGGCGAAAUAGUCUCAUUAACCUAAACAAACAAACAAAGGAAAACAGACCAAAAGAAAACAAGCCUGAGAAGUUAAUGUGUGACAUAGUUAGAGAGAUAAAUGGACCAAUGAAAGCCAUGAGAAAAUACAGUAGUUGGUUCCUUGCUACAGUUUCGCUGCUUCUUGUGUAUACUGAGUGGGAUCCUGGUCUUUCGUAAGAGACUUUAGGGCACAGGAAGGAGGUGGGCUUCUCUCGACCUCUCAC